rnacentral:rRNA from 1 species
UACGGAGGGGGCGAGCGUUAUUCGGAAUUAUUGGGCGUAAAGGGCGCGUAGGCGGCUGUACAAGUCAAAGGUGAAAUCCCUCGGCUCAACUGAGGAACUGCCUUUGAAACUGUACGGCUUGAGGCCGGGAGGGGGUAGCGGAAUUCCCAGUGUAGCGGUGAAAUGCGUAGAUACUGGGAGGAACACCAGUGGCGAAGGCGGCUACCUGGACCAGCACUAGACACGUGAGGCACGAAAGCGUGGGAGCAAACAGG